UCUUUUAGAACUGCGAAUGGCUCAUUAAAACAGUUAUAGUUUAUUUGAUAUUGCAUUUUACAUGGAUAACCGUAGUAAUUCUAGAGCUAAUACAUGCGUUACGCCUUUCUUAUGGUGAGGCAGUAUUUAGAUACUAAACAAUAUUCCUUAGGGUCUAUUUGAUGAUUCAUUCUAACUAGUUUAUCGGAUCGCGGUUUUUCCGCGACAGAUCAUUCGAGUUUCUGCCCCAUCAGCUUGAUGGUAGUGUAUUGGACUACCAUGGCUUUUACGGGUAACGGGGGAUUAGGGUUCGACACCGGAGAGGGAGCCUGAGAAACGGCUACCACUUCUACGGAAGGCACCAGGCGCGUAAAUUACCCAAUCCUAAUUCAGGGAGGUAGUGACAAGAAAUAAUAGACCGGCUUACGCCGGGUUUACAAUGAGCCUAAUUUACACAACUUAGUGAGGAUCCAUU
rnacentral:rRNA from 1 species